ensembl:antisense B430119L08Rik RIKEN cDNA B430119L08 gene
AUCUGUAUUCAUCCUUUUCGUUUUCCCCAGCCUUGCUCUGAACUACCUCCACAUCCUGUGCUGCCCUGCAGUCACACAGGACAUCAGGACAUUGCCAUGGUCACCUUGCUGAGCUUCAGGGGAGCAUUCUCCUCUGUGAUUCCGGAGAGGUCAGCCCCAUUGUUNNNNNNNNGAACUUAGAGAUGAGCUCCUUGCUGAGAGUUUGCUCCAGAUGCUGCAUCUUCCCAUCAUCGGGCAGAAGGAAGACAGCAGUGGCAUUGCCUGCAUAAUCCAUCAGCAGCACCCAGCUGGACAGCGUGCUGCAAUGGUGCACAUCAAGCAUGCCCGAGAGGGUCAUCAUGGGCACCUUCACCGUGGUGGACUCGUCCACGUGGAACUCAGCUUCCUCAGUGUUCUCAGGAUCGAAUGGCUUCUUCCAUUUGCCUGAAGAGGGGAGAGUGAGAGCAGACCUUAGACAAUGAGGUGGUGACACAGCCCAUUGACUUUUCAUGUGCACGGGGCAGGGGGUGGGGGGAACACUACUAGCCUUCUAGGCUGCCCAGGCACUUUGGUGAGGGUAACUCAGGACUCAAGGAGUACUUAGACUUUCCAGACCACAGAAGCUGAGAGCUACCAUCCCCAUGGUGCCUAGAAAAUAUCUUACAUAAUUGUUAUAUACUUAUAGAAAGGUGACUUGGGGUUAUACACUCAUUGGAAAUUCAGUCAUAACUCAGGACAAAUAUUUUUUGGCACCUCAAGCCCCUUUCUACAUUCAAGGGUUCAGUGCAGAAGUCUAUCUGCUGUAUAAGACCACCACAGUAAAGAAUACUGGAGUAGGUUGGGACUUUGGGGAACCACCAACAAGAACCCAUCAGAAUGCCUUAGAGUCUCAGAGACAUAUCAACAAGGCCAUUAGAGUGGGAGAGGCUCCAGGGAACCUGUCACCAAGGAUAUUGGAGUGGACACAGGUCUCAGGGACCCAUCUCUGAAGCUGUCAGUGUGGGCUGAGUUCUCAGGGACCCAAGAUCAAGGCUGUCAGCAAGAGAAGGACAGCAGGAAUCCUAACUUCACCUUCCUUUUGGAUAGGAAUUGGUGAAUGGGUUGGGGUGGAGUUGACACCUACACUUGUCACAGAAAUGAUGGGCCUUGAGCUGUGCUGGCCUGAUAGUGUCCUCCACAGGACUCUGUUGGUGGCAAGGAGAGCAGCUUCUGCUUUUGACUCCAAUUUCUGGAGAGUCUUGAACUAAUGACUUCCAGGCUGGAGGCCCUGCUUGGGAUGUUAGUUGAUCAGGUGCUUUUGUCAGUGCACUGGGUAACCUCCCUAAUUCUUUCAUUCCCCACACAGCAGUCAGCUAGCUUUGACCCUUGUAAUAUGGGCAGUCACACGCCAAACAGGUAAAAUGGCUGGUCCAAUAUCAAGGCUAAUAGAUUAGAGUGGCCAGAUUCAAGCCAAUGUUUCCAGAGGUCAUAAUGGUGGUAUGCAACAGAGGGGCUGAUCAAGUACACUCCAUGGAAUGGUACUCUCUUCAGACCAUCACAACCAGGACAGUUGGUUUUGAAGCUGGGGAAGGAGUGCACAUUCUACAACUCUCCUUUGUAGGGGAGAUGAACAUUAGGACAACCAAGGCCCCAAUCAGUCCUUCAAAGAAGUCAGUGGACUUGAUGUUUGAAGCCAAUUCCUAAGCUUAAUUGAUAAUUUGUAAGAUGUCAGAGUACACAUCAUAGAGUAGGGAACGUGAUGGGGCAAUACCACAGCUUGGCGUGAAGCUCAGAAACUGGUCCUUGAGAAUAUGUAUGGGUGUCUCCAUGGUCGCCAACUCAAGCUGGUUCUGCCACUUACCUUUAAAGAGAAUGUAAUUUGCCA